CUCUGUGUUUUUCUUUUUCAUCUGACCAUGCCUUUCCCUCUUCACUGGGAUGCAGGGAUCUUGUUAACGUCUGUUGCAAGGAACAUCACGAUGUUAAGUGCGAAAAAGCACACCUUUUGCAAGAUAUUCCUUCCCGAACAAAGCGCCAGCCGAAUGAGAAUCCCUCCUGCAUAUCGGAAGCUUAUGAAAGGGACAAACAUGAGAAAUGUUUACCUAACGGGACCCAAUGGCAACUAUUGGCCAGCGAAGAUUAUCGAGGAGGGCAGCAAAUUAUCUUGCUCGAGGGUGGCCUGCAUUCGUGAAGGACCACGGCAUACAACGCGGGCAUUUCCUCUUAUUCAAGUUCGAUGGGGAGACGACAUUUAAGGUUAUGGUCUUCAGCCCCACUGCGUGCGAGGAUAAGGCUGCUUUCAGCAGCAAAUUUUCCCGAGGCAAUGGAAAAGCUGAGGUGCAAGAACGGGCUCCAUCUACUGCUACAAAUCCACAUUUCAUAGUACAUCUACAGCGUUCAAUACCUGGGCGAAGGAAUGGUCGUUGUAAGAUUUUCUUUUAGUGCCCCGAAUUGCUAAGUGCGUAUAUACAUUGUCCUCCUCGUAUUUGCAAUUGCGUUGUGGCUGCUGCCACCAUUUGUUAUCUAUCAUGGUAUUCUAGUCAGACCGACAUUAUGUUGGAUUUCCCGAAUUCUCUUGUAUUAAGACUUUUUCUUUGUUUUUUUUUUCUUCUUCUGUUGGUAGGACAUUCCGAAUUCAUUCGUCAAUGGAUGGGUAAGAGAACUAGUUCAUUCUUAAGUAAAACCAUGUAAACCUUAAAUCGGUAUUUGGUAACGAAGUUAAAUUUGAUUUAGUUUGAUUAAAGGAUAUGACGAUAAAAGUAGUCAAAAAAAGUAUGUGAGAAAAUUCGAAG